CUGCUACUCCCUCCGUCCGAAAAUACUUGUCAUCAAAAUAGACAAAAAGGGAUGUAUCUAGAAGUAAAAUACAUCUAAAUACAUCCCUUUUUAUUCGUUUUGAUGAGAAGUAUUUUUGGACGGAGGGAGUACUAU
rfam:Triticum aestivum genome assembly, contig: Triticum_aestivum_CS42_TGACv1_scaffold_591822_7BS